GGUAGACUACUUUCGGGUAGUUGAGAGUGGAGCAUGGGCCCCUUUUGCGUAUGCAACCUACCUUGUACAGGGGGAUAGCCCGGAUAAAUUCGGAUUAAUACCCCAUAGCAUUACCAGAUGGCAUCUGAAGGUAAUUAAAGAUUUAUCGGCACAAGAUGGGCAUGCGUGACCUUAUUUAGUUGGUAGGGUAACGGCCUACCAAGACUAUGAUGUCUAGGGGUUCUGAAAGGAUGAUCCCCCUCCCUGGACCUGAGAAACCGACCACAUCCCUAUUGGAGGCAGCAGAAGGAAAUAUUUGUCCAUGGGGCAAGAACCAAACCCUCCCUUGCCUUGUGAUACAACAACCCUCCUCCUGUGUUGAAACCUUCUUUUUAACGAGAAAAAAAA
rnacentral:rRNA from 1 species